CUCAGGAAAUUGGGAACCUACCGUGUUCUGGAAUAACUGCUGGGAACAUGGCGAACUAUGUGGCCACUAUCCCUGAAAAGAUUCCAGAUACAUGGGACCAGGAUGGAAGAAUCCUAGGGCAUUUGAUUUACAUGGGGAUCUCUGGGAGAACAUAUACAGAGGCCGAAAGACGUACAAAUUUUCCAGAAAUGGCAGGUUUGGGGUAAACUUGAGAUCUGUUCCAUUGGAGGAAGGGUCCCCUAAACUCUCCUCACUUCACCACAUUCCACUACGUCAGUCCUGUCCCCCGGAGAGGGUUCUCAUCUGGCCAGGCUUCCAGGUAAGAAGUUGGCCCCUAAACUUCUUUUCUGAGCGUCCAAUGGACCCUUUCAGUGCCAGGAACUUUCCCAUUGGAUGGAGUUCCAUUGUUACUGACACGUUUCCUGUUGUGAUCUGAGGUUUACGUAUAAAAGCAGCUUCCACCUCAUGGACACCAACCAACAGGACUUCCGCCCCACUCUGCUAAAGGGGCUCUGAAGUGAGGCCGCUCGCAGCAACACUAGGUCCAGUGAGGCAGUGUGCAGAACACCAACACGCUCCAAGCCAGAUGUUACAUGGUGAGCCAGAAAUGCUUUCCCUAGAAAAGACGGACAGCAGAUGCCAGCUGGGCAUGAUGCCCUGCCGCCUGGGUCCUCCAGCUUGAGCAGGAAGUGACAGAACAGGGUGCCACCUCGGCCCCGCUGCAAGGACACAGCACAGUAAGAGACUGAGGGACCCCCAAAGUGCACACCCCAAGGUCUCUACUGUGAAGGUUUCCCCGGAGCAGAACCUCGGGGCAGAGCCUCUAAACACUGUGCUAGACUUGGUUUGUAGCUGGUGUUCCUUGAUGCUGGGAAGGGGCCUUUGCCCCAAAUGUGUGCCUCCACCCAAAUGAGGGAAGAUGGGCUGCAUGGAGGGCCAGGCAUGCAGCAUCCUGGGUAAUGGCUCCAGUACCUACUCAUCAAGUGACUCAGACCUGAUUCCCCAAAGGCAAGCAGAGCUGUGGGGGACACACCACUGGUCUGGGAGGACUCUUGGAAUCCUUAACAUUUUCUGUGUGGGACACCAUCAGAGAGCUGCUCUGCGGUUUGUGGAUUUCAGCCAUUCCUCCUGUCUGGGAUGACCUCAGCACGUCCGAGCCCGGAAGCCCAGGCUGGGAGGUUCCUGGGGUAGAACCAGGGAGGCAGGACCAGGGCUUCUGUGGAAAAGCUGCAGAAAGGCACCUGGCCUCCUGGUGUCCUAGUGCCAGGUGAGAUCUGCCUGCCUCUCUCGGUGAGGGGGGUGGACUAGAAGGGCAUUGACUGGGGAUCCCCGGGGGGUUGCUCUGAUUCCUGCUUGUGAAGGCAGCUGAUCCGGAAGGGGCAUUUUCCAUCAUGGCUUGAUACUCUUUCGUCCUUGGGAGAUCCUCUAAGCUGCCCUUAGCCAACAUGUGAGCACAAAUGGGUGUUCAGGGCUGCCCCUUGAAUGAGUGAAAACUUUCAUGGCCGUCCACAGAAAUACGGUGACCCACUGUCCCAAUGUGCCUGGAGUGCAGGAGUUUCCUGGGACAAAGAAACAUCCCAGGAUGGUUGGUCACCCGGCAUAGCCAGGGGGACUGCAGGCGUCCUGCCAGAGAGCUGGCGUGCUCACAGUGCCCAGGGGAGCUACACCAAACCUCUGGUGGUGCAAGGGUGGUGUGAGGGCACCCCUCCUGUGGCACUAGCACACCAGCCCUGCGGUAUGAUGCUGAGUGCAGGGAAGGGAAGCCAGGAAGGAUGAGGCAGGCUACCCCGCUGAGCUUCCUCUCUUUAGGGCUCCCCUGCCUACUUACUCAGCUGCUGGGCCUUUCUGUGCUUGGUAAAGAUGGGUCUGGGCCUCUGCCCAUCCUGCCCUGAUCCUCCCCCCCCCCGGGAGUGCUCUCAGAUGGAGCCAGGCUCCUGAGCUUCUCACAGGCUCACCUGGCCUGGACCUGCCCUUCAGGGAGAGGGGGAAGGCAGGAAGCAGGAGAGGGUUCUGGGGAGGAUGAUAUGGUCCCCGCUUUUCUCUGUGCCAGCACGUUCCUGUCUACAGGCCCUGGAGUCACCGUGGCUGGCUGAACCCACUGGGUGAGUGAGCUCUGAGGUAGGGUCAGGAAUUAGCAUGGGACUCCCAGGGGAGGAGAAGAAGAGGAAGAGGACAGGUGGACACUGGCACGGUGGGUGACAGGCAGGGGGCUAGGCCCCGAGGGGUGGGGUGCCCAGGAAGCACGUGAGCUCUAGCUGCUGCUCUCCUGUGGGUCCGCCCUGGCUGAAAGCUGAGUGGGAACUGUGGAAGGUAUGGGGCCUCUUGAGGGGCCCCAGAGAAUCUCAGAGCAGGCAGGGCCUCUGGAAGAAAGAUGCUGCUGUCCCUUGCACACCUGCCCUCUGCAGAAGGAAAACGUCCGGGUGGUACCCAGCCUGAGCACUGCCCACCCAGGCCGCGGAGCGAGGAGGAGGCAAUGGAGUUCGGAAAUGCACACGCUGCCUCUUGGUGGCUCAGUGGAGGGGAGGGGGCACUUGCUCCAGUGGUCUCCACUCCCGAAGGGAGUCAGCCCUGGCCCAGGCCUCCGCACCGCCCAUGGAGAAGGAAAGACAUACCAAAGAAAAAGCCAGUUACAGAUGAGCCCCGCACCCCUGCCCCCCAAUCCCCGUCCCCCGCCCCA